rnacentral:rRNA from 1 species
UUUCCCGUUUGGGCGGGUUCACAGGUGGUGCAUGGUUGUCGUCAGCUCGUGUCGUGAGAUGGUUGGUUAGUCCCGCAACGAGCGCAACCCUCGUUCCAUGUUGCCAGCACGUCGUGGUGGGGACUCAUGGGAGACUGCGGGGUCAACUCGGAGGAAGGUGAGGACGACGUCAAAUCAUCAUGCCCCUUAUGUCUUGGGCUUCACGCAUGCUACAAUGGCCGGUACAAUGGGUUGCGAUACUGUGAGGUGGAGCUAAUCCCAAAAAGCCGGUCUCAGUUCGGAUUGGGGUCUGCAACUCGACCCCAUGAAGUCGGAGUCGCUAGUAAUCGCAGAUCAGCAACGCUGCGGUGAAUACGUUCCCGGGCCUUGUACACACCGCCCGUCAAGUCACGAAAGUCGGUAACACCCGAAGCCGGUGGCCUAACCCUUGUGGGGGGGAGCCGUCGAAGGUGGGG